UACAGAGGUCUCAAGCGUUGUUCGGAUUCAUUGGGCGUAAAGGGUGUGUAGGUGGCGCGCUAAGUCGGGUGUGAAAUUUCGGAGCUUAACUCCGAAACUGCAUUCGAUACUGGCGUGCUUGAGGACUGGAGAGGAGACUGGAAUUUACGGUGUAGCAGUGAAAUGCGUAGAUAUCGUAAGGAAGACCAGUGGCGAAGGCGGGUCUCUGGACAGUUCCUGACACUGAGACACGAAGGCCGGGGGAGCAAACGGG
rnacentral:rRNA from 1 species